GGAAUCCCUACUGAGUAAGACUUAGCAAGUCACUCGUAGCGAGUUUUGGACAUUUAUAGGUGACUGUAAAUGUUAAGCGUAAACAGUUAGGGUGUAGGCGGUAAGUGUAAACUGAAGAGAUUGAGCUCCGAAAUUGUGUGCAUUGGGAGAGGCUGAUGUUGUUGUCAGAACAGAAGGCAAUAACUCUGUAGUCGUAAAGCAAGAAUACAGAGUCGCCCCGGGGUCGAAGACCA
rfam:Acetohalobium arabaticum DSM 5501, complete genome.